rnacentral:tRNA from 2 species
AGCAGAGGACUGAAAAUCCUCGUGUCACCA